ACCUAAAGUUAACAAAUUGAGCUAAAUGAUAUAAUUUCAUCAGGGUUUAAUUUUCGAAGUAUAAUGGUAAUCACAAAAUCUAAAACCUUGUAAAGAUAUUGCUUAAAGUAAGUUUGUUCCAUUUUGAAGUUACACAGAGGGCUUCCAAGAUCUUGACGGACUGUGAUUAUGAAGUCACUUAAUGAGCGGAGUCUUGAAGCCUCGAAUUAAUCUAACUUACACAAUUUACCUCCGCUAUCCCUACUGCAUACCCUUUACGAUUUUAGUUACCACUAUUACAGAGUACGGUGUUACCUCGUUAAGCAUAACAUCAAACUUACAAACUUUAAAAAAUUGUAGUUACAAAACUUCGUUUGGAGACAAAUUGGAGUUUGCAAGUGACAGUUUGAAACAUCGAUGUAUAAAAAAACGUUGCUCAGGACUACGUGAACGUCAUAUACGAUACGUACUCAUAGCUUUUGCAAUCUUAUUGCAGUUGCAUUCUGAAGAAUGACUUUGCCUCAGUGUCUUCACGAAUUUUGACUAACUCUUCAGAUAUUAGCGCAAAUUAGAUAGUAAUAAACAUCAAAAUCGCAAAAGCUACGAGGUACUAAAAUAUAAAGACAGGAACCUAAAUAAUAAAAACUGGUAGUCUCUAUAAAAAGUUGCGCUCCGUAUCAUUGCUGUAGAUGGUGACACUUAAGCGAAAUCCCAAUCAUAUAUUUCUUCUUACAACGCCAUAUGUUCUCAGUGAGCUCACGGAUGGUGUAUUAAAUUAACAUAAAUUUCAAAGCGUUGAGACCCCGCUAAUAUGAACACAACUUUUUUAUAGGAAAUACCAGGGGCCCAUUUCUCGAACGAUAUUAGUCUAAUAUUAUUAGUGUGUUGUCAUGGCAACCCAUACGAUUUGACAGUUCGUGGACUAAUAAUAUUAAUCUAAUAUCGAAUAUUACGCAAAACUCUGCGUAGGGGGUGCAACUACCACUAUGCAUCACAAUCUGGGGGUCUAUCGCGAAACAAGAAAAUCCAAAUUUCGUUAUCUAACCUCUCUAUCACUCUUGCAUAUUCGAGCGAUAAAGAGGCAGAUAACUAAAUUUCGAUUUUCAUGUUUCCCGGUAGGCCUUGAUGCAUCAAUGCCAUAUUUUAGUGUCUGUGAAAACUUGUCAAAAAACAGUUUAAGGCACAGUAU